GGCUCUGUAGUGAAGUUCAUAAUGAGUUGCAAGCUCGUUGAUGCGCAUUAAUUAUGUGCCGGAGUCU
rnacentral:tRNA from 1 species